UAGGGAAUCUUCCGCAAUGGGCGAAAGCCUGACGGAGCAACGCCGCGUGAGUGAUGAAGGUCUUCGGAUCGUAAAACUCUGUUAUUAGGGAAGAACAUAUGUGUAAGUAACUGUGCACAUCUUGACGGUACCUAAUCAGAAAGCCACGGCUAACUACGUGCCAGCAGCCGCGGUAAUACGUAGGUGGCAAGCGUUAUCCGGAAUUAUUGGGCGUAAAGCGCGCGUAGGCGGUUUUUUAAGUCUGAUGUGAAAGCCCACGGCUCAACCGUGGAGGGUCAUUGGAAACUGGAAAACUUGAGUGCAGAAGAGGAAAGUGGAAUUCCAUGUGUAGCGGUGAAAUGCGCAGAGAUAUGGAGGAACACCAGUGGCGAAGGCGGCUCUCUGGUCUGUAACUGACGCUGAUGUGCGAAAGCGUGGGGAUCAAACAGGAUUAGAUACCCUGGUAGUCCACGCCGUAAACGAUGAGUGCUAAGUGUUAGGGGGUUUCCGCCCCUUAGUGCUGCAGCUAACGCAUUAAGCACUCCGCCUGGGGAGUACGACCGCAAGGUUG
rnacentral:rRNA from 1 species